rnacentral:rRNA from 1 species
UACAGAGGUCUCAAGCGUUGUUCGGAUUCAUUGGGCGUAAGGGUGCGUAGGCGGCGCGGUAAGUCGGGUGUGAAAUCUCGGAGCUUAACUCCGAAACUGCAUUCGAUACUGCCGUGCUUGAGGACUGGAGAGGAGACUGGAAUUUACGGUGUAGCGGUGAAAUGCGUAGAUAUCGUAAGGAAGACCAGUGGCGAAGGCGGGUCUCUGGACAGUUCCUGACGCUGAGGCACGAAGGUCAGGGGAGCGAACGGG